GGGCUUUAUUGGUUUUCUAUGUAACCCGAGGAAUAUUGGCCUCUCUCUCUCUCUUCCUCUUUUCUCUACACUUUUCUUUUCCAUGAGACCGACCAACUCCAGGACAGAGGCCUUUUGCCAUUCGAUCCCUUUACAUGCAACACUCCACUCAAGCCGGCCCCUAAAUUAAGAAAUUCCUCCAAGGCCGAAUCUGAGCCAUUUCCCAAGACCAAGUCAAGAUUGUUCUUUUGUUUGAGACCCUGAUGGCUAGAAUAAAAAUCAACACUACGGGCCUUAGACUUCCUUCCUCCCAGACCACAAACCCCUGAUCCUCAUUUAUCAGCAUGAAGAAGCCCUAAACAUUAACUGCGUCCAUCUCUCUUUCUCUUUUUAUAUAUAUUCCUUAGGGCCUGGAAUGAAGAAAAGUUACGUGGCUCAAAAUAGUCUGGAAUUAAAAUUCCCCUCCAGGUCCUCCCCACCAUUCUACGCAAAACAAAGAACUCUCUCACCCCGAGAAAAAAUGGACAUUAAGGUUGAUUAUGCCCAGCUCCCAGCCGGUCCAGCCUCUGGCCGAUCUCCAAAAUUCCUUGCUCCAGCCGUUUAAGAGAUAACUACUCUGAACAACCUUGGAGAAGAACAGGCCCCCUUAAGACAACAGCUUUCCACAUACAUGCCUAUAUGUACUUACUCUUUUCUUGGGUAAGUGCAGCAGCUCGAUAAUCUGACUGCUGCCCCUUCUCGCCUCAUUAAAGGUGAUCUGUUCCUAUA
ensembl:lncRNA